GGGAGUGUAGCUUAGUACUAGAGUGCUUGCUUAGCAUGUGGGAGGCCCUGGGUUAGAUCCCCAGCACUGCUU
rnacentral:tRNA from 1 species